rnacentral:rRNA from 1 species
CCUACGGGUCGCUGCAGUGAGGAAUAUUGGUCAAUGGACGAGAGUCUGAACCAGCCAAGUAGCGUGAAGGAUGACUGCCCUAUGGGUUGUAAACUUCUUUUAUAUGGGAAUAAAACGUUCCACGUGUGGGAUUUUGUAUGUACUAUAUGAAUAAGGAUCGGCUAACUCCGUGCCAGCAGCCGCGGUAAUACGGAGGAUCCGAGCGUUAUCCGGAUUUAUUGGGUUUAAAGGGAGCGUAGGUGGAUUGUUAAGUCAGUUGUGAAAGUUUGCGGCUCAACCGUAAAAUUGCAGUUGAAACUGGCAGUCUUGAGUACAGUAGAGGUGGGCGGAAUUCGUGGUGUAGCGGUGAAAUGCUUAGAUAUCACGAAGAACUCCGAUUGCGAAGGCAGUUCACUGGACUGCAACUGACACUGAGGCUCGAAAGUGUGGGUAUCAAACAGGAUUAGAUACCCCAGUAGUC